ensembl:lncRNA
CACACUGCUACAUCAUCCUCAAGGUAACACACACACACACUGCUACAUCAUCCUCAAGGUAACACACACACACACACACACUGCUACAUCAUCCUCAAGUUAACACACACACACUGCUACAUCAUCCUCAAGUUAACACACACACACACACACACACACACUGCUACAUCAUCCUCAAGGUAGCACACACACACUGCUACAUCAUCCUCAAGGUAGCACACACACACUGCUACAUCAUCCUCAAGGUAACACACACACACACACACACACACACUGCUACAUCAUCCUCAAGGUAACACACACACACACACACACACACACACACACACACACACACACACACUGUUACAUCAUCCUCAAGGUAACACACACACACACACACUGUUACAUCAUCCUCAAGGUAACACACACACACACACUGCUACAUCAUCCUCAAGGUAACACACACACACACUGCUACAUCAUCCUCAAGGUAACACACACACACCCACACUGCUACAUCAUCCUCAAGGUAACACACACACACUGCUACAUCAUCCUCAAGGUAACACACACACACACACACACACACACACACACACAC